GCAUAGGUUUGAAUUUACGGCAGGCCCCUCCCCCUGGGUCUGCCAUAGUGCCUCAUGCCCGAGCAAGCUGUGGCCUCGAACCAUUGCCUGGCCUCUGCCCUUAGGCUGCAGGCAUUGAAGCAGGUUGCAUGGGG